AAAUGGGUUAAAAAUAUCAAACAUGGUUUUAUGGUGUAUGGAAGGAUGGCACCAGUGGACUCCAGAUACUAUAUCCACUUAAAUGAGAUGAAGCAGUUAUGGUGUCCCUUUUAUUGCCCUGUUGCUAACCAAAAGCACAGAGGAAGUAUAUUUAAACACGCACUUUUCUCAACUAUAACUGUCCUCCUGACACAGAGAUGGUCUGUCGGGUGAUCAGUAGAUUUUACAAGCCUGAAAGCUGGUGUGCAAUCAUCUAAUGUCAAUAUUUUCAUGCAGUGAACAUGACUUCUUG